GGGAAUAAGCCUCGGCCAACUACGUGCCAGCAGCCGCGGUAAUACGUAGGAGGCGAACGUUAUUCGGAUUUACUGGGCGUAAAGGGAGCGUAGGCGGUUCCUCAAGUCGAAUGUGAAAUCUUCCGCCUCAAUCGGAAGGCGCCAUUUGAUACUGGGGGACUUGAGAGCAGCAGAGGGAAAUGGAAUCUCCAGUGUAGCGGUGAAAUGCGUAGAUAUUGGAGAGAACACCAGUGGCGAAGGCGAUUUCCCAGGCUGCUUCUGACGCUGAGGCUCGAAAGCGUGGGGAGCGAACCGGAUUAGAUACCCGCGUAGUCCACGCCCUAAACGGUGGACACUAGAUAU
rnacentral:rRNA from 1 species